ACUAUCGGUGGUUCAGUGGUAGAAUGCUCCCCUGCCAUAUGGGCGGCCCGGGUUCGAUUCCCGGCCGAUGCA
rnacentral:tRNA from 1 species